rnacentral:rRNA from 1 species
GACGAACGCUGGCGGCGUGCUUAACACAUGCAAGUCGAACGGAAAGGCCCUGCUUUUGUGGGGUGCUCGAGUGGCGAACGGGUGAGUAACACGUGAGUAACCUGCCCUUGACUUUGGGAUAACUUCAGGAAACUGGGGCUAAUACCGGAUAGGAGCUCCUGCUGCAUGGUGGGGGUUGGAAAGUUUCGGCGGUUGGGGAUGGACUCGCGGCUUAUCAGCUUGUUGGUGGGGUAGUGGCUUACCAAGGCUUUGACGGGUAGCCGGCCUGAGAGGGUGACCGGCCACAUUGGGACUGAGAUACGGCACAGCCUACUACGGGAGGCAGCAGUGGGGAAUAUUGUACAAUGGGCGGAAGCCUGAUGCAGCAACGCCGCGUGCGGGAUGACGGCAUUCGGGUUGUAAACCGCUUUCGCCUGUGACGAAGCGUGAGUGACGGUAAUGGGUAAAGAAGCACCGGCUAACUACGUG